GAUUAACGCUAGCGGCAGGCCUAAUACAUGCAAGUCGAACGGCAGCACGGGUAGCAAUACCUGGUGGCGAGUGGCGCACGCGUGCGUAACGCGUAUGCAAUCUACCUAUAACUGGGGAAUAGCCUUCCGAAAGGAAGAUUAAAACCGCAUAAUAUCACGAAGCGGCAUCGUUUUGUGAUCAAAUCUCCGGAGGUUAUAGAUGAGCAUGCGUGACAUUAGCUAGUUGGUGAGGUAACGGCUCACCAAGGCUACGAUGUCUAGGGGGUCUGAGAGGAUGAUCCCCACACUGGUACUGAGACACGGACCAGACUCCUACGGGAGGCAGCAGUAAGGAAUAUUGACAAUGGCGCAAGCCUGAUCCAGCCAUG
rnacentral:rRNA from 1 species